GACGAACGCUGGCGGCGUGCUUAACACAUGCAAGUCGAACGGAAAGGCCCUGCUUGCAGGGUACUCGAGUGGCGAACGGGUGAGUAACACGUGGGUGAUCUGCCCUGCACUUCGGGAUAAGCCUGGGAAACUGGGUCUAAUACCGGAUAGGAGCCAUUUUUAGUGUGAUGGUUGGAAAGUUUUUUCGGUGUAGGAUGAGCUCGCGGCCUAUCAGCUUGUUGGUGGGGUAAUGGCCUACCAAGGCGGCGACGGGUAGCCGGCCUGAGAGGGUGGACGGCCACAUUGGGACUGAGAUACGGCCCAGACUCCUACGGGAGGCAGCAGGGGGGAAUAUUGCACAAUGGGCGCAAGCCUGAUGCAGCGACGCCGCGUGGGGGAUGACGGCCUUAGGGUUGUAAACUCAUUUCGCUAGGGACGAAGCUUUUUGUGACGGUACCUAGAUAAGAAGCACCGGCUAACUACGUG
rnacentral:rRNA from 1 species